GGAGAGGAAAGUGGAAUUCCUGGUGUAGAGGUGAAAUGCGUAGAUAUCAGGAGGAACACCAGUGGCGAAGGCGGCUUUCUGGUCCGAUACUGACGCUGAGGCGCGAAAGCGUGGGGAGCAAACAGGAUUAGAUACCCUGGUAGUCCACGCCGUAAACGAUGGGCACUAGGUGUUGGAGGUAUUGACCCCUUCUGUGCCGA
rnacentral:rRNA from 1 species